rfam:Ktedonobacter sp. 13_2_20CM_2_56_8 13_2_20cm_2_scaffold_995, whole genome shotgun sequence.
GAUCCCGUAGCUCAGUUGGAUAGAGCGACAGUUUGCGGAACUGUAGGUCGUAGGUUCAAAUCCUAUCGGGAUCG